GGUCUGGUAGUUCAGUUGGUUAGAAUGCGUGCCUGUCACGCACGUGGUCACGGGUUCGAAUCCCGUCCAGACCG
rnacentral:tRNA from 1 species